CGCCGCGACGGCCGGCGUGUUGGUGCCGCCGGUGAUGGUGGCGUCGGUGCUCAUGAUGAUCCUCCUCCGGUGCGGCCCGGGCCGCGACGG
rnacentral:tRNA from 1 species